rnacentral:rRNA from 1 species
AGGUAAGCUACUAAGAGCGAAUGGUGGAUGCCUUGACUGGUAAAGGCGAUGAAGGACGUACUAGACUGCGAUAAGCUACGGGGAGCUGUCAAGAAGCUUUGAUCCGUAGAUUUCCGAAUGGGGCAACCCAAUGUAUAGAGAUAUACAUUACCUAUAUAGGAGCGAACGAGGGGAAUUGAAACAUCUUAGUACCCUCAGGAAAAGAAAUCAAUAGAGAUUGCGUCAGUAGCGGCGAGCGAAAGCGCAAGAGGGCAAACCCAGUGCUUGCACUGGGGGUUGUAGGACUGCAAUGUGCAAGAGGUAAGUUUAGCAGAACAUUCUGGAAAGUAUAACCAUAGAGGGUGAUAGUCCCGUAUGCGAAAAACAAACCUUAGCUAGCAGUAUCCUGAGUAGGGCGGGACACGAGGAAUCCUGUCUGAAUCCGGGUCGACCACGAUCCAACCCUAAAUACUAAUACCAGAUCGAUAGUGCACAAGUACCGUGAGGGAAAGGUGAAAAGAACUGAGGUGAUCAGAGUGAAAUAGAACCUGAAACCAUUUGCUUACAAUCAUUCAGAGCCCUAUGUAGCAAUACAGGGUGAUGGACUGCCUUUUGCAUAAUGAGCCUGCGAGUUGUGGUGUCUGGCAAGGUUAAGCAAACGCGAAGCCGUAGCGAAAGCGAGUCUGAAUAGGGCGCUUAGUCAGAUGCUGCAGACCCGAAACGAAGUGAUCUAUCCAUGAGCAAGUUGAAGCUAGUGUAAGAACUAGUGGAGGACUGAACCCAUAGGCGUUGAAAAGCCCCGGGAUGACUUGUGGAUAGGGGUGAAAGGCCAAUCAAACUUCGUGAUAGCUGGUUCUCUCCGAAAUAUAUUUAGGUAUAGCGUUGUGUCGUAAUAUAAGGGGGUAGAGCACUGAAUGGGCUAGGGCAUACACCAAUGUACCAAACCCUAUCAAACUCCGAAUACCUUAUAUGUAAUCACAGCAGUCAGGCGGCGAGUGAUAAAAUCCGUCGUCAAGAGGGAAACAACCCAGACUACCAGCUAAGGUCCCUAAAUCUUACUUAAGUGGAAAACGAUGUGAAGUUACUUAAACAACCAGGAGGUUGGCUUAGAAGCAGCCAUCCUUUAAAGAAAGCGUAAUAGCUCACUGGUCUAGUGAUUUUGCGCGGAAAAUAUAACGGGGCUAAAGUAAGUACCGAAGCUGUAGACUUAGUUUACUAAGUGGUAGGAGAGCGUUCUAUUUGCGUCGAAGGUAUACCGGUAAGGAGUGCUGGAGCGAAUAGAAGUGAGCAUGCAGGCAUGAGUAGCGAUAAUUAAUGUGAGAAUCAUUAACGCCGUAAACCCAAGGUUUCCUACGCGAUGCUCGUCAUCGUAGGGUUAGUCGGGUCCUAAGUCGAGUCCGAAAGGGGUAGACGAUGGCAAAUUGGUUAAUAUUCCAAUACCAACAUUAGUGUGCGAUGGAAGGACGCUUAGGGCUAAGGGGGCUAGCGGAUGGAAGUGCUAGUCUAAGGUCGUAGGAGGUUGUACAGGCAAAUCCGUAUAACAAUACUCCGAGAACUGAAAGGCUUUUUGAAGUCUUCGGAUGGAUAGAAGAACCCCUGAUGCCGUCGAGCCAAGAAAAGUUUCUAAGUUUAGCUAAUGUUGCCCGUACCGUAAACCGACACAGGUGGGUGGGAUGAGUAUUCUAAGGCGCGUGGAAGAACUCUCUUUAAGGAACUCUGCAAAAUAGCACCGUAUCUUCGGUAUAAGGUGUGGUUAGCUUUGUAUUAGGAUUUACUCCGAAAGCAAGGAAACUUACAACAAAGAGUCCCUCCCGACUGUUUACCAAAAACACAGCACUCUGCUAACUCGUAAGAGGAUGUAUAGGGUGUGACGCCUGCCCGGUGCUCGAAGGUUAAUUGAUGGGGUUA